AUACGUAGGGUGCAAGCGUUAAUCGGAAUUACUGGGCGUGAAGCGUGCGCAGGCGGUUUUGUAAGACAGUGGUGAAAUCCCCGGGCUCAACCUGGGGACUGCCAUUGUGACUGCAAGGCUGGAGUGCGGCAGAGGGGGAUGGAAUUCCGCGUGUAGCAGUGAAAAGCGUAGAUAUGCAGAGGAACACCGAUGGCGAAGGCAAUCCCCUGGGCAUGCACUGACGCUCAUGCACGAAAGCGUGGGGAGCAAACAGGAUUAGAUACCCUGGUAGUCCACGCCCUAAACGAUGUCAACUGGUUGUUGGGGAUUUAUUUUCUCAGUAACGAAGCUAACGCGUGAAGUUGACCGCCUGGGGAGUACGGCCGCAAGGUUAAAACUCAAAUGAAUUGGCGGGG
rnacentral:rRNA from 1 species